rnacentral:lncRNA from 1 species
AAAUACAAAGAAUGUAUGGUGAGAAAGAAUGGUAUAAGUAAACUACUCUUAUUAUGCCAUAAAGCAAGGUAAUGAAUUUCUUUGUCAACCAGACAAUUAUUUUGUUUUCUGAUGUUGAUGCUCAAAAUGGCCCGGCCAAUAGUGAGUCCAACUUAGUGAUGAGGUGUGAUGGAUGAUGGAUGAAGGUGAGGAUCUUCACCAAGUGUGUGAGGAUUUGGGCAAACGAUAAACAUAUGGAAGACAAGAUAUACGUGGUUCACCCGAAUGAUAGGCUACGUCCACGGAGAAGGGUGUUCUCAUUAUGAUAAUGUUUGUUUACAUUUGUACAAGGGGAUUAGACCCAAAUAUAAAGAUAACAAGUGAGAAGCCCAGUCUAGUGAUCUAGAAGAGAGAGUCCAAGGCCUAAGGGUCUAGAUCCAAGACCCGGAUCCCCCUCUAAGGAAAGAGCAGUCUUCUUUUAUAGGUGAGGGGGAGUCCAUCUCUUGUAGUUUUCCGAUGUGGGACUCCUCUUACUCUGCUUAGAGUUGUGAUUUGUGGUGGUGCUUCUUGGGCUAAGGUGAUGACCUCUCAAAGCAUGGCACGUGGAUGAUCUAGCCUAGCUAGUUGCUCGGUCAGUUACGGUACCAACAGUAGUCCCCCAAGUUCUCGAGUAAGAAGGUACUUCUUGGUUGGGGACUUGUAAUUUUAAGUGCACUGGCCGAGCAACACCAUAGUUCAUCUUCCAAGCUGUAUAGUGCACUACCCAUAGUCCCCCAAGUCCUCGGGUAAGAAGGACAUUUGGAAGGGAGAGAACUUGGCACGAGGGUGCCGAAGGUGAAGAGGUAGCCGAAGGGACAAAGUUGCAUGUCUCAGGGUAAUGUGGUUGGGCACGAGGGUGCCGAAGGCAUAUGAAUUGCAUGUGUCAAGGCGAUGGGCUUAGGCACGAGGGUGCCGAAGGUGACACUAAGCUUGCAUGUUUGCAAGGCAAUGUGUUUAGGCACGGGGGUGCUGAAGACAAAGAGAAUGUCGAAGGAGACAUGAAGCUUGCAUGUCACAAGGCAAUGUGGCUGGGCAAGAGGGUGCCGAAGGCACAAAGCUUGCAUGUUGCAAGGCGAUGUGGCCUAGGCACAAGGGUGCCGAAGGCAUAAGACUUGCAUGUUGCAAGACAAUGAAGCUAGGCACGGGGGUGCCGAAGGCAAAGGGGAUGCCGAAGGCACAGAGCUUGCAUGUCGCAAGGCAAUGUGCCUAGGCACGAGGGUGCCGAAGGCAUAAGACUUGCAUGUUGCAAGACAAUGGAGCUAGGCACGGGGGUGCCGAAGGCAAAGGCGAUGUCGAAGGCACAGAGCUUGCAUGUCGCAAGGCAAUGUGCCUAGGCAAAGGGGAUGCCGAAGGCACAAAGCUUGCAUGUCGCAAGGCAAUGUGUCUAGGCACGGGGGUGCCGAAGGGGACACAAAGCUUGCAUGUCGCAAGGCAAUGUGCCUAGGCACGAUGGUGCCGAAGGCAGAAGAAUUGCAUGUCGCAAGGUGGUGGGCCUAAGCACGAGGGUGCCGAAAGCAUCACAAAGCUUGCAUGUCGCAAGGCGAUGUGGCUAGGCACGUGGGUGCCGAAGGCGACACAAGGCUUGCGACAGCUUGCAUGUCGCAAGGCGAUGUGGCUAGGCACGUGGGUGCCGAAGGGGACACAAAGCUUGCAUGUUGCAAGGCCAUAUGCUUAGGCACGGGGGUGCCGAAGACAAAGGGAAAAAUGUAAGAAUGCAUUUUUUUUUUUUUUGAAUGGCCGGGCCAUUUUGAGAGAGCUUGAAGGUUUUCUUGAAUUGGGCCUUCAGCAAGUAUGAAGGGCUUGAGGUGGGCUUCGGCAGGUAGGGUUUUGGAGGAGGGGAGUAUGUAAAUAAGGGGUGGCCACCAUGCCGUUCGGCAGUUCUCACUUCGGCACUUUGGGGUAGAAAGUCUUGGAGUGUGCUAGGUCUCCCUUUCCGUGUUGGGUCUAGGUUUUAGUCUAGCAGUUCAGCAAGCGUGAUUCGGCAGGUAGCGUUGGGCUUAGCAGCUGGUUCGGCAGGCGGCGAGGCAGCUGGUUCGGCAGGUGUGGUGCUGAGCCGAUCGGCAGGUUCUGGCCAAGGUGCAGUUGAAGUGCUGCUGAGAUCAAAGGGGAGCCGCGACUGAUCUUGCCGUUCGGCAAGAGGCUUGGGUCGAAGGGGCUGGGCAGUUGUCUAGGCAGGCUAUUCUGUCCGAGGAGGUUGAAGUGCUGCCGACUGGUCUUGCCGUUCGGCGAAGGACUUGGCGGCGGCUGAGUGGUCCCGCGGCUGGAGGCUUCGGCAGGGGUGGUUGCACCUUCUUGAUUCCGUAAGUCCCCACUUGCUUCCGCGUUCCCCUUGCCGAAUGGCAAGGGAGGGUUGAAAGUUUUUUGAGGUCUCCCCUUCGUGAGAGCUGGGUGCUGUUUGAAAUUCGGUAGGUGGCUUGAGCAAGGAUUUGUCGUUCAGUGGCACAGCUUCAGCACCUGGGUUUGAAGCUUUCAAGAACCUUCAGCGUGGGACCUGCCGAUCGGCAAGUGCCCCUUGUGAGUUUGGGAAACACCUACCUUUCGGCAGGGCCUGGUGUCUUCAACCCUUGCCGAACGGCAGGAGCCGUCUGGAGGAGAAAUUUGGGGACCGCUCAAGGGAAAUCUUUCACGGGACCUACCGUUCGGCAGCACACACCCAGCACGGGUUGUUUUGGCAGCACACCUUCGGCAGGUUUGGAGAAGAAUUUCGGGUAAGGGCCUUGGAGCUGAGCUACUGCCGUUUCACAAGAGAGCUGGGCAAUUGAGGCUUGGCUUUCGGCAAAGAGUUUUAGUUUCGUAGCCGGGGCUGGGCCCUCUGAAUUUUGGUCGUGUGCUCUUUUAUUUCUGCUCGACCCUUGCCGUUCAGCAAGUGUGGGAAAAUUGGGAAAUAUUGAGGUCACGGCAAGGCCAUUUUGAAUUGUACUCCCGUUUAGCAACCUCAAUCUUAAUCGAGUGGUCUAUUGUUGUGUCUAGCAGGAGCUGGGUAUGAAACAAUUUGGCGAAACUUUGAGGCUGAGCCUGUGAAGGUUGGCGAAAAUUUGGAGCGGAGGAAGUCGAGAGAACUUUAGGGUUUAGGGUUCUUGGGUCUGUGCAAUUGGCUUCAGUCAGCUCACUAGCUCCGUUCGGCAAGAGUCUAUCACUCGGGUCUUGUGAGUUUUGACUUGAAGGUUGAGCACCGCUCAUCUCAAAGGAAAGCUGCCCGGGUCAAUCAGUUUGAUGUUUUCUUCUAUGCUUGUUUGAAAAUUUUGGUCAAUUGGCUUCAGAGACCAAUCUGUAGUAACUAAUGUGCAAGAGGUGAGGUCCACCACUUUCUCUUGGAGUGGAAUUUUGGAACUGCUUCUUCAGCUUUGGACGGAAGCUGUUGCCCGCUUAAUGGGGUGGUGAAAAGAGGGGAUAUUCAAAUGCUAUGAUGCCUUGGGAGAUAUGAUUAGAGAUUGCCGUGCGGAAUAUUGGUACCCUCGGCAUGCCGGAUCCAAGUUAUCCUCUGUUGAAGACAUUAUGGGUGUCUUGAGAAUUUUUAGGUGGCUAGACAGAUCGGUGAGAGUGACAUGGUGCCUCAAAUAUGAGAUAAAUCUUUAGUUUGGAGAUGAGCGACUGCAGAUGAGGUGCCAUUUGGUAGUUUGCAUGAGCCUUGCUUCAGAUACGAUAACUUCUACUUCUACUUCUUGGGGUGUCCUGCGUUCAGAAUUUUUGAAUUUGCUGUUUUGAGCCGGGCCGCGCAGCGGUGGUCUGGGCUCUAAUUGGGUCUUUUGCAAGACGUUUGACAAAGUGGGUGUCUUGAUAAAUUCAGUAGUUGGGUGAUGUAAUUAGAGGUGGCCUCCUGUCUUGACUUGGACAUCAUGCAUAUCUUGAGCAAUUGAUUGAGACAUGGUGGGUCUGUUUAUGUGUAUGAGAUUUGCUUCAGAUGUAGCUUGUCUAAGAUACUUGGAUUUGGUUGUGCCGAAAAGAGUUUGGGCAUUGGGUGUUGUACAGCACUUGCAACUAGUUUUGUCUCCUGGAAGCGAACCACGUGGGCAUUGGGUACCCAAUAUUUUGCCAAAGACGUGUAGAAUAUACAAGGGCCCCCAAACUUUCUUCUUCAAAGAGGUGCCGAAUGGCACUUUGAAUUGAGAUGGUGGUUUGACCAUGCAAGCCAUGCAAGACAUGAAAAGGGUAGCUACAUUCUGAAUGGCUAAUAGAUUAGUGGACUUGUACCAUUUAUGUCGGCAAAUGAGAAUAAAAUAAAGACACAAGAUGAGAAAUGGAGAUCUUAUCUUUUGGGAGCCCACUCAUCAAUAUUCACCAAAGGUGCCGAGCGGCAAGGCAUGUAAAGGAAAGCUAGGGUGGCCUACAUAUUUCCUCUUCUUCUAGAUUAUUAUAUUGCAAGGAUUCAUCUUCUGCAUCACUCUUGUCGGACAGCAAGUUAGGUGAUGUUGAUUGUAGGGGUGCCGAAGGCACUGAAGAAAGGGAAGAACGACAGAAAUCUUUUGUGUCGAUUCCCACAGACGGCGCCAAACUGUUGAUGCUCAAAAUGGCCUGGCCAAUAGUGAGUCCAACUUAGUGAUGAGGUGUGAUGGAUGAUGGAUGAAGGUGAGGAUCUUCACCAAGUGUGUGAGGAUUUGGGCAAACGAUAAACAUAUGGAAGACAAGAUAUACGUGGUUCACCCGAAUGAUAGGCUACGUCCACGGAGAAGGGUGUUCUCAUUAUGAUAAUGUUUGUUUACAUUUGUACAAGGGGAUUAGACCCAAAUAUAAAGAUAACAAGUGAGAAGCCCAGUCUAGUGAUCUAGAAGAGAGAGUCCAAGGCCUAAGGGUCUAGAUCCAAGACCCGGAUCCCCCUCUAAGGAAAGAGCAGUCUUCUUUUAUAGGUGAGGGGGAGUCCAUCUCUUGUAGUUUUCCGAUGUGGGACUCCUCUUACUCUGCUUAGAGUUGUGAUUUGUGGUGGUGCUUCUUGGGCUAAGGUGAUGACCUCUCAAAGCAUGGCACGUGGAUGAUCUAGCCUAGCUAGUUGCUCGGUCAGUUACGGUACCAACAUCUGAUAACCUGGUGCUUUGCUUCAGCAUUCAACAACCUUUGGUAGGAACUGGGCAUUU